UACGAAGGGUGCAAACGUUGCUCGGAAUUAUUGGGCGUAAAGCGCACGUAGGCGGCUUGGCAAGUCGGAUGUGAAAUCCCUCGGCUCAACCAAGGAAGUGCAUCCGAAACUGCUGAGCUUGAGUACUUAAGAGGAUCGCGGAAUUCCCGGUGUAGAGGUGAAAUUCGUAGAUAUCGGGAGGAACACCAGUGGCGAAAGCGGCGCACUGGACCACAACUGACGCUGAGGCGCGAAAGCUAGGGGAGCAAACAGG
rnacentral:rRNA from 1 species